AUGGCUGCCUCACCUCACAGCCCAUUCCUGCCACUUCCCUGCCCAUACCCACCCAUGUGCUCACCUGCCUCAUCCACACACAAACGUAGUUGUUCUCACACAUGGGCUGUGUGUCCACACGCUGUCACACACAUGCCCUCGUGUCCACACAACUCAUCCCGUGUCCACAUGCUCACACAUGUGCCGUGUCCACAUGAUCUCACGCUGUGUCCAAUCACACAUGCCAUGUCCACACGCUCUCACACGUGCUGUGUCCACACACUCCCGCACGUGCCAUGUCCACACGUUCUCACACACAUGCCAUGUCGACGCUCACAUAUGCCAUGUCCACAUGCUCUCAUGCGUCUACACGCUCUCACAGUUGCCGUGUCCACACUCUCUCACACACAUGCCAUGUACAGACACACAUGCCAUGUCCACAUGCUCUCACACAUGUGCCAUGUCCAGACCCUCACACAUGCUGUGUCCACAUGCUCUCACACACACGUCCACAUGCUAUCACACGUGCCAUGUCCACACGCUCUCACAUAUGUGCCAUGUCCACUCACCACGCCAUAUCCACAUGCUGUCACACACGUGCCGUGUCCACACGCUCACACUUGUGCCAUGUCCAGAUGCUCACAUGCUGUGUCCACACGUUCUCACACAUGUGCUGUCCACAUUCACAUGCCAUGUUCAGAUGCUCACACAUGCUGUGUCCACACAUUCACACACGUGCUGUGUCCACACGCUCUCGCACAUGCCAUGUCCACACGCUCUCACAUGCCAUGUCCAGAUGCUCACACAUGCCGUGUCCACAUGCUCUCACAUGCCAUGUCCACACAUUCACACACAUGCUGUGUUCACACGCUCUCACACACAUGCCGUGUCCACAUGCCGCAACAGACUACAGAACUGGUCUGUGCAAAGACCAGGGCUGGAGCUGAUGAGAGCCGGGGGGCUGGGAUGGAGGGUGUGAGAGGCCCAGAGGAGCAGCCAGUGGCAUGGGCUGCCCCCACCCCCCUGCACACUCUGCUGCUUGCCCGAGGGCCUGGUAUAGAGCUGCACCCCCAGGCUGUCCAGCUGCUGGCUCCCCACCUCACUGGGGCGUCUCUCCCCCAGCCCAGUGGACCUCAUGCAAGGGCAGGUCUGACCUGGGUGCCACAGCCCCAUCCCCGCCGUGAGGCCUGGGCUGGACCUGAGCUGGGACCGCACACACCAGCCUGGGGGGUGUCACACUGGGUGGGGCUGGGAGUGAGGGGCCCACCCUAG
rnacentral:lncRNA from 1 species